CGCGUAGGCGGCUUGACAAGUCAAAGGUGAAAUCCCUCGGCUCAACUGAGGAACUGCCUUUGAAACUGUCUGGCUUGAGGCCGGGAGGGGGUAGCGGAAUUCCCAGUGUAGCGGUGAAAUGCGUAGAUAUUGGGAGGAACACCAGUGGCGAAGGCGGCUACCUGGACCGGUUCUGACGCUGAUGCGCGAAAGCGUGGGUAGCAAACAGGAUUAGAUACCCUGGUAGUCCACGCUGUAAACGAUGGGUGCUCGGUGUCGCGGGUAUCGACCCCUGCGGUGCCUUAGCUAACGCGUUAAGCACCCCGCCUGGGGAGUACGGUCGCAAGGCUGAA
rnacentral:rRNA from 1 species